GUGGGGAAUAUUGGACAAUGGGCGCAAGCCUGAUCCAGCCAUGCCGCGUGAGUGAUGAAGGUCUUAGGAUUGUAAAAUUCUUUCACCGGGGACGAUAAUGACGGUACCCGGAGAAGAAGCUCCGGCUAACUUCGUGCCAGCAGCCGCGGUAAUACGAAGGGGGCUAGCGUUGCUCGGAAUUACUGGGCGUAAAGGGCGCGUAGGCGGACAGCUUAGUCAGAGGUGAAAGCCCAGGGCUCAACCUUGGAAUUGCCUUUGAUACUGGCUGUCUUGAGUUUGGUAGAGGUGAGUGGAACUCCGAGUGUAGAGGUGAAAUUCGUAGAUAUUCGGAAGAACACCAGUGGCGAAGGCGACUCACUGGCCCAAUACUGACGCUGAGGCGCGAAAGCGUGGGGAGCAAACAGGAUUAGAAACCCCUGUAGUCC
rnacentral:rRNA from 1 species